GAUGAAGAACGUAGCGAAAUGCGAUAAGUAGUGUGAAUUGCAGAAUUCAGUGAAUCAUCGAAUCUUUGAACGCACAUUGCGCCCCUUGGUAUUCCAUGGGGCAUGCCUGUUCGAGCGUCAUUUGUACCUUCAAGCUUUGCUUGGUGUUGGGUGUUUGUCUCGCCUUUGCAUGUAGACUCGCCUUAAAAUAAUUGGCAGCCGGCGUAUUGAUUUCGGAGCGCAGUACAUCUCGCGCUUUGCACUCAUAACGACAGCGUCCAAAAGUACAUUUUACACUCUUGACCUCGGAUCAGGUAGGGAUACCCGCUGAACUUAAGCAUAUCAAUAAGCGGAGGA
rnacentral:misc_RNA from 1 species